CACGUAGUUAGCCGGAGCUUAUUCAUUAAGUACCGUCAUUUUUUCGUCCUUAAUAAAAGAAGUUUACAAUCCGAAAACCUUCAUCCUUCACGCGGCGUUGCUGCGUCAGGGUUUCCCCCAUUGCGCAAUAUCCCCCACUGCUGCCUCCCGUAGGAGUCUGGGCCGUGUCUCAGUCCCAAUGUGGCCGUUCAACCUCUCAGUCCGGCUACCGAUCGCGGUCUUGGUGAGCCGUUACCUCACCAACUAACUAAUCGGACGCGAGUCCAUCUCCGAGCGAUAAAUCUUUGAUAGCGCUGCCAUGCGACUUCGCUAUGUUAUGCGGUAUUAGCAAUCUUUUCAGAUUGUUAUUCCCCUCUCGGAGGCAGGUUACUCACGCGUUACUCACCCGUCCGCCACUAAACUUAACCAAUGUCCUUCCGAAGAAUUCCUUCAACUAAGUUCCGUUCGACUUGCAUGUGUUAGGCACGCCGCCAGCGUUCGUCCUGAGCCAGGAUCAAACUCU
rnacentral:rRNA from 1 species